UACGGAGGGUGCAAGCGUUAUCCGGAUUCACUGGGUUUAAAGGGUGCGUAGGCGGACUAAUAAGUCAGUGGUGAAAGCCGGUAGCUUAACUAUCGAACUGCCAUUGAAACUGCUAGUCUCGAGUACGGUUGAGGUGGCUGGAAUGUAUCAUGUAGCGGUGAAAUGCUUAGAUAUGAUACAGAACACCAAUUGCGAAGGCAAGUCACUAAACCGUAACUGACGCUGAGGCACGAAAGCGUGGGGAGCAAACAGG
rnacentral:rRNA from 1 species